UCGAUAGAGAUACAUAAAAAG
rnacentral:piRNA from 1 species